AGAGUUUGAUCCUGGCUCAGGACGAACGCUGGCGGCGUGCUUAACACAUGCAAGUCGAGCGGAAAGGCCCUUCGGGGCACUCGAGCGGCGAACGGGUGAGUAACACGUGAGUAACCUGCCCUAGGCUUUGGGAUAACCCUCGGAAACGGGGGCUAAUACCGAAUAUUCAGGCUGUGUGGCAUCACAUGGUUUGGAAAGUUUUUCGGCUUGGGAUGGGCUCGCGGCCUAUCAGCUUGUUGGUGGGGUGAUGGCCUACCAAGGCGACGACGGGUAGCCGGCCUGAGAGGGCGACCGGCCACACUGGGACUGAGACACGGCCCAGACUCCUACGGGAGGCAGCAGUGGGGAAUAUUGCACAAUGGGCGGAAGCCUGAUGCAGCGACGCCGCGUGAGGGAUGAAGGCCUUCGGGUUGUAAACCUCUUUCGACAGGGACGAAGCGCAAGUGACGGUACCUGGAGAAGAAGCGCCGGCCAACUACGUGCCAGCAGCCGCGGUAAGACGUAGGGCGCGAGCGUUGUCCGGAUUUAUUGGGCGUAAAGAGCUCGUAGGCGGCUUGUUGCGUCAGCUGUGAAAACCCGCAGCUCAACUGUGGGCUUGCAGCUGAUACGGGCAGGCUUGAGUUCGGUAGGGGAGACUGGAAUUCCUGGUGUAGCGGUGAAAUGCGCAGAUAUCAGGAGGAACACCGGUGGCGAAGGCGGGUCUCUGGGCCGAUACUGACGCUGAGGAGCGAAAGCGUGGGGAGCGAACAGGAUUAGAUACCCUGGUAGUCCACGCUGUAAACGUUGGGCGCUAGGUGUGGGGGGCCUCUCCGGUUCUCUGUGCCGCAGCUAACGCAUUAAGCGCCCCGCCUGGGGAGUACGGCCGCAAGGCUAAAACUCAAAGGAAUUGACGG
rnacentral:rRNA from 1 species